ACCGAGUCUUAACUGGGCGUUAAGUUGCAGGGUAUAGACCCGAAACCCGGUGAUCUAGCCAUGGGCAGGUUGAAGGUUGGGUAACACUAACUGGAGGACCGAACCGACUAAUGUUGAAAAAUUAGCGGAUGACUUGUGGCUGGGGGUGAAAGGCCAAUCAAACCGGGAGAUAGCUGGUUCUCCCCGAAAGCUAUUUAGGUAGCGCCUCGUGAAUUCAUCUCCGGGGGUAGAGCACUGUUUCGGCAAGGGGGUCAUCCCGACUUACCAACCCGAUGCAAACUGCGAAUACCGGAGAAUGUUAUCACGGGAGACACACGGCGGGUGCUAACGUCCGUCGUGAAGAGGGAAACAACCCAGACCGCCAGCUAAGGUCCCAAAGUCAUGGUUAAGUGGGAAACGAUGUGGGAAGGCCCAGACAGCCAGGAUGUUGGCUUAGAAGCAGCCAUCAUUUAAAGAAAGCGUAAUAGCUCACUGGUCGAGUCGGCCUGCGCGGAAGAUGUAACGGGGCUAAACCAUGCACCGAAGCUGCGGCAGCGACGCUUAUGCGUUGUUGGGUAGGGGAGCGUUCUGUAAGCCUGCGAAGGUGUGCUGUGAGGCAUGCUGGAGGUAUCAGAAGUGCGAAUGCUGACAUAAGUAACGAUAAAGCGGGUGAAAAGCCCGCUCGCCGGAAGACCAAGGGUUCCUGUCCAACGUUAAUCGGGGCAGGGUGAGUCGACCCCUAAGGCGAGGCCGAAAGGCGUAGUCGAUGGGAAACAGGUUAAUAUUCCUGUACUUGGUGUUACUGCGAAGGGGGGACGGAGAAGGCUAUGUUGGCCGGGCGACGGUUGUCCCGGUUUAAGCGUGUAGGCUGGU
rnacentral:rRNA from 1 species